rnacentral:lncRNA from 1 species
CUGUAUUUGCUUUUGAAGGCAUAGGAGUGGUCCUUCCACUGGAAAACCAAAUGAAAGAAUCAAAGCGUUUCCCUCAAGCGUUGAAUAUUGGCAUGGGGAUUGUUACAACUUUGUAUGUAACAUUAGCUACUUUAGGAUAUAUGUGUUUCCAUGAUGAAAUCAAAGGCAGCAUAACUUUAAAUCUUCCCCAAGAUGUAUGGUUAUAUCAAUCAGUGAAAAUUCUAUAUUCCUUUGGCAUUUUUGUGACAUAUUCAAUUCAGUUCUAUGUUCCAGCAGAGAUCAUUAUCCCUGGGAUCACAUCCAAAUUUCAUACUAAAUGGAAGCAAAUCUGUGAAUUUGGGAUAAGAUCCUUCUUGGUUAGUAUUACUUGUGCCGGAGCAAUUCUUAUUCCUCGUUUAGACAUUGUGAUUUCCUUCGUUGGAGCUGUGAGCAGCAGCACAUUGGCCCUAAUCCUGCCACCUUUGGUUGAAAUUCUUACAUUUUCGAAGGAACAUUAUAAUAUAUGGAUGGUCCUGAAAAAUAUUUCUAUAGCAUUCACUGGAGUUGUUGGCUUCUUAUUAGGUACAUAUAUAACUGUUGAAGAAAUUAUUUAUCCUACUCCCAAAGUUGUAGCUGGCACUCCACAGAGUCCUUUUCUAAAUUUGAAUUCAACAUGCUUAACAUCUGGUUUGAAAUAGUAAAAGCAGAAUCAUGAGUCUUCUAUUUUUGUCCCAUUUCUGAAAAUUAUCAAGAUAACUAGUAAAAUACAUUGCUAUAUACAUAAAAAUGGUAACAAACUCUGUUUUCUUUGGCACGAUAUUAAUAUUUUGGAAGUAAUCAUAACUCUUUACCAGUAGUGGUAAACCUAUGAAAAAUCCUUGCUUUUAAGUGUUAGCAAUAGUUCAAAAAAUUAAGUUCUG